CUGCCCUGCUAGUGUGUGGCGGUGGGUGGCAGGACCCAGAGACAUGGCCAGUGCCAGGAGCCACACAGCAGCAGCUUCUCUCUCCUCCCAGAUCAGCCCUGUCAGCCCUCCUCGAACCCGCACUGCCCGCCUGAUGACCGCCAAGGAGGGCCAGGCCCUGCUGAGUCAUGAGGCCGCUCCCCCGCUGGGCACUGAGUCAUUCUUAACGAGCCCUCUGACGGGCAAACUGCUGCCAUCAUCCAGGAUUCACCCAAGUCUGCAGGAUUUGAGAACAUUCUUCCGGGAAGGAGUCUGGAGCCUCCCCCACACGGCUGCCCACAUCAGGAGCCUCAGAUACAGAGGCCUUUUUCCUUGCCUUUGGCCUCAGCAUCCAACACUCCACUCUUCUCAUGGAAACUCCGGGGGAGCGGCAGCUGAAACUCCAUCCGAUGCUUCACUGGGAAUCGGCACUAAGUUGGGGGAGGGUGGCACCGCCUUCCAGACCAGGAUNGGGGGGGGGGGGGGGGGGGGGGGGGGGGGGGGGACAGGCACCCUGGGGUCACAUGAAAGUCUAGUCAUGGGACUUAGAUUUUCUUUGGUUUUCCCCCAAAGCCUGCUCUUUGAACUCAGACCCCUCCAAUGGGGCUGGUCUUUUGACUGGUGUUGGGUUUUCUGAAUCCGCUUCACUGAGCGCUCCUGGGGGACCAAGGUGGUCAGUGAGAUGCCAGGAAUUUUUUUCCUCUAAUGUUAUUUAAAGAGAGC
rnacentral:lncRNA from 1 species